rnacentral:rRNA from 1 species
GAUGAACGCUGGCGGCGUGCCUAAUACAUGCAAGUCGAGCGAACAGACGAGGAGCUUGCUCGUCUGACGUUAGCGGCGGACGGGUGAGUAACACGUGGAUACCCUGCCUAUAAGACUGGGAUAACUUCGGGAACCCGGAGCUAAUACCGGAUAAUAUAUUGAACCGCAUGGUUCAAUAGUGAAAGACGGUUUUGCUGUCACUUAUAGAUGGAUCCGCGCCGCAUUAGCUAGUUGGUAAGGUAACGGCUUACCAAGGCAACGAUGCGUAGCCGACCUGAGAGGGUGAUCGGCCACACUGGAACUGAGACACGGUCCAGACUCCUACGGGAGGCAGCAGUAGGGAAUCUUCCGCAAUGGGCGAAAGCUUGACGGAGCAACGCCGCGUGAGUGAUGAAGGUCUUCGGAUCGUAAAGCUCUGUUAUUAGGGAAGAACAAAUGUGUAAGUAACUAUGCACGUCUUGACGGUACCUAAUCAGAAAGCCACGGCUAACUACGUG